UACGGAGGGUGCGAGCGUUGUCCGGAAUCACUGGGCGUAAAGGGCGCGUAGGCGGCUGGGGAAGUCGGCGGUGAAAGCCCGGAGCUCAACUCCGGGUCGGCCGUCGAGACUCCUCGGCUCGAGCUCACUAGAGGCAGAUGGAAUUCCGGGGUGUAGCGGUGGAAUGCGUAGAGAUCCGGAAGAACACCGGUGGCGAAGGCGGUCUGCUGGGGGUGAGGCUGACGCUGAUGCGCGACAGCGUUGGGG
rnacentral:rRNA from 1 species